rnacentral:lncRNA from 1 species
UAAAACCAAUAAACUCAUUAAACAUCACUUAAAAUGGCAAGAAAUUAAAGAGGAAUACAUAAAAUAGUUUAAAACAUUUGUACAAUAUUGUGAGAACUCAAAUCAAGUACAAUCCACCAAUGCUUGGAAUACAAAAAAAAAUAGAAUCGCCACAACUAAAUUUUAUUAUCUAAUUAAUCUUAUUUUAAUUUGCCAUGUUUAAACUAAAACUAAGCAGCCCUUGCAAGAACUUCAAGCCUUUCUGGCACAUCAGCUGGCUCAAUGAAGAAAGCCCUCCUCAGAGAUCUCGGCACCGUACUGUCAACACUCCGUCUUCAUAUCCGGCUGAAAUCCGUUCGAUAUCGACCCGGCCCGGAAGCCGGAACUUCCUCAUGAAGGUCCUGCUGCUAGGCUGAUCCGUGGACUCCUCCUCGAUCCUAUUAUGAGGUACACUGAGUCCUCCACUUCUACUUUUAUGUCCUUGUAUAAACUACAUCUCAAAGCCGUUGAAAUAACAAAGUGUAUCGCUCUAGAUACGAGGAUGAUGUGUUGUAUGAUUUUGUUAAAUUCCCCCUUAUACAAAGGAAAGGGAGGAAAGAAAAUUUAUUGUUGUUUGGUGAUUGUUUAGUUAGUUUUCAUUGGUGGAUAUUGAAGUUUAGUUGGUAUAUGUAUUGAAGUUUGGUUGUUUGUAUAUUGAAGUUUGGUUGGUACGUGUAUCAAAGUUUGGUUGUAUAUUAAAUUUUGGUUGAUGUGUGUAUUGAAGUUUGGUUGAUGUGAUUUGUUCGGUUUUUUAAAUUUUGUCCUAAUUUAGAUUUAUUUAAAUUAAAACAUUCACAAAAUUAAAUUAAGAUAACCUAACUCAAAGUAUUAAAAAAGAAUUCUUACCAAAAAAUAAAUAAAUUAACACAACCUUAUGUUUAUUUUUGUCUUAAGUCCGUUGUCUUUUUUUCUUAUCUACAACCUAAUAACUGUGUGUCUUUUUUCUUCGCUACAACUUGAUAAUAUAAUUCAACUAGGAAAAUUACCUAAUUAUGUUUGUAUGUAAUAUUUCAUACGUUUUGUAUUACCAAAAUUACCUUCAAAUCAAUUUUAUUUGUUGGCUUCCUAAGAUCAAAUCACCAUGAAAAAGAUCAUCUACUCGACAUGAACUCACCAAACCCACAGUAGUAGUCAAAUGGGACUUGAAUCCAUGACUGGUCAAAGAAUAAAUUGAUGGGAAGGGAUCCUCUCCGGAUCCCUUCCACCAAUCUGAACCCUUCCACCAAUCUGAACCCUUCAAAUUUGAUUCAACGACUAAAAAUAGAAGACCCCUUUAAAAUUUAUAAUAACUUUAGCCGUUUGAUCAAAUUUUAAGGACUCGGAUUGGUGGAAGUAAUCCAUUUCCAUAAAUUGAUAUCAAAUUCAACAUUUACAAUAUUUGAACCUAAAAUCCUAAACACCAACCCUAAACCAUAAGAGCAUCUCCAAGAUCACCACCUUCAAAACACAUUACGCUCCACCAACCCUAAACCAUAUGAUAAUUUGACGUGCACAUUUUUUUAUUUAAUUUAAUAUUACGUAAAAUAUUUUUAUGAUGCUCCACCAACCCUAAACCAUAUGAUAAUUUGACGUGCACCUUUUUUUAUUUAAUUUAAUAUUACGUUUUCGUAAAAUAUUUUUAUGAACAUUAAGAAAAAGAAUUCUAAUUCCGACACGAAUUUUUUUUUUCUUAAAAAAUAAACGUAAAUAGAAUGGCAUCAUUAACGACUUAUGUCAUCAUUAAUAAUUUCCGAUCGAGAUAAGAUUUCAACUUUUUGCAACUGUUGGAUUGAUUUUCUUAUCUUAAUCUCAUCUGUCGGAUUGUUAUCUCUCUUUUUUCACUAUAAAAGUGAGGUCUCUAUAUUUUUCACCUCCAUCAUUUUUUAAUACAUUCUUCAAACUACCCUUCAAAUAGCCAAACUGCAAUGCUAUAACAUGAUAGCUCAUCUUCCGUUGACGAAGCUAUGAUGGUUAAGACGCCGAUUGCGAUAAGAAAAUCAUAGGCAAAUUGGAUAUCAUUUUUGGAAUUAAGAGUUUUUGGGAUUUGAAUAAGUAAUACUUUAACUGAUUAUUUGGAUCCACACCAAUUCAUCUGCUAUUUCUUCAACAGAUUUUAGUUAAAUAUAUGUGGUUUUUGCUUGCUCUUUUCAAACUUAUCACGAAGCUUGUUAAAUAGAUUUUAUUCAUGUAUAAAAACCACAUAUAUUGAACUAAAAUCUAUUCAAGAAAUAGCAAAUGAAUUUGUGUGGAUCCAAAUAGUCAGUUAAAGUAUUACUUAACCAAAUCCCAAAAACUCUUAAUUCCAAAAAUGAUAUCUAAUUUGCCUACGAUUUUCUCAUCGUUGUCCUAACCAUCAUAGCUUGGUUGUCAUCAACGGAGCUAUCAUGCUACAGUUUGGCUAUUUGAAGGGUAGUUUGAAGGAUGUAUUAAAAAAAAAAUGGAUGCGAAAGAUAUAGAGACCUCACUUUUAUAGUUAAAAAAUAAAUAAAUAAAUAGAUAACAAUUUGACAGAUGAGAUUAAAAUAAGAAAAUCAAUUCAACAGUUGUAAUCGGUACAGAGGAAGAGGGAAGAGAUAAGGAUGAAACCUAAACCCUUUCGAGGGCUUCACGACGUGUCUGCAAAUUUUCAAAAAGCAACACGACACCGAUAAAAAAAACAAAGUCGCAAAAUUAGGGUUGUGGUAAAUUGAAGAAUUGAUUGGUUUGGUUGAGAAACAAUAGCAAUUAAUCAGGUCUGCGGUUUGUGUUGAUGUGAGAGAGGGUGGAGAUAAAUGAGAGAAUUAUUUUGGUUUCUAGGGAGAGGCUUCUAAUUUUCUUGAGAGACAUCUCUCAUCUUUUAGAGAGACGAGAGAGAGACCUAGGGUUUCUCAAUUUACUCAGAAAUGAGAGAAGGGCAUUCAGAUAUAAGAGUAGCCUUUCGACUCUAGGGAGCUCAUUUUCCUGAUGCACGACACGUGUGAGCAUCCUAAGCUUCUGUGCUAUCCGAGGAGUAACGGUCUGAAUUAGAGAGAGGGUUUGGGCUCUGGGCUUGAGGUCAUAAUAGCUGAAAUGAGAGUGGGUGUAACUAUUAGGGUUUUUCAAAUGUCAAAUGAUGCUGCUACACUAACGUAUACUGUGGUUGUUGCAAAUGACACAAGUGUGGCCUUGUACGUGUUGGUUAGCGCGCCUUCAUUAGUUUUCAGGUCACGAGUUCAAUUUUUCACGGCGACUGUUUUGUGUUUCUUUUUCAUUCUUUUUUCCGAGUAUAUUUUUCUUGCGUGUCAUCGUGCAAUACUACUCAUUAUGAUUUUAUAGCAUGUAUGCUUAAUGUGUUUUAAAAUUUUAGACUUGUUGGAUACUUUUUUUGCAUUUUAUCAUUCUUUUAUUAUCUCUUAUCCAUGAAUUUUAUACAAAGUAUAAUUUUUUUGUAAGUGUCAAUAUGCAUUUAUUUACAAGAUAUACAAGAAAUUUACCUAAAUCCGCCUAGACCUGCCUAGCCGCCCGACUAGCGCCUAACGUUUUUUUAGAAACUUGGAUUAAACAAACACACAUCACCAGAUAAAAUGCUUGGACUCCAAGUUCCACUCUCCUUGUAAGUUCCACUCUCCUUGUAUUUCUCCAUGUUUCACAUUCCAUGGGUUUUUUUUUGGUUGAAGUCUUGAAGAUAAUAAAGACUUGGACAUGCCACUAGAAUGGUUGUUGAUAUUGGCACUGUAAACCUUUCAUCAAGAAAGUGAAAUAUAUGUAAAGAGUACAUAAUGAGAAUUUUGAGUGUCAACAAUAACGCCCUUUUGAGAAUUACGAAAAACUAAUACACUCCCGAACCAACGUCAACAUGUUAAAGAUUUUCCUAAGUGGACGAAAAGGGGUCACCUGGGUACGGAUUGAAUUGAGGAAGUGGUAGUAAAUGGCAAAUUUUUUAUAAUAGCACCCUUUACACACUAUUUUCAUAUUACACUAUGUCCAACAUUUUAUGAAGUGUCCGCAUUAAACGAAUCUCAUCACCGAUGGCCGAUGGCCGAUGCCACCGCCCUCAUCUCCUCUCCUUUCCACCAAGAACAACCUUUCGAGCCUUUAGUUUGCUAAGGAACGUGAGUUCCAUCCAUCCCUGCCAGAUAUACGACUCUAUCCAAACACCACUAAAGUUUUUGCAAAAUCCGAACACUGAUCGAACCCAGUACAAUCAAGUUCUAGCUAAUAAAAAAAGUUUCGGGCAUUGCAUUGAAAGUCCAAUGCGAUGCCCUUGAUCUGAAGAGCAAGUUUUUUUUUUUUGUUUGAAGUCUUAAAACCAUAUCAUAUCUAAGCAGAGUCAAUAGUAGUGUUAAAACAAUUCAACGAUCCACGCCAUUCAUCUCAACAUAAUAUCUAAGCAGCCCAGAGUCAUCAGACCACUGACCCAGAGAUCUUCAAUGCGUCCAGCCUCUCUCUUGUUCCACAGUAGGUCAUGCGAAGAAAUCCGUCUUCAUCCCUGUUUUUCUCAUCAAUCGCAGACAUCAAGGUUCCUGUAACAACAUUGGAGGAAUUACUGAGAGGUAUUAAAUCCACCACUAAUUUGGGCACAAGACGGAUAUUAUCAAGUGGCACAUUAAUUUGGGCACAAGACGGAUAUUAUCAAGUGGCAUAAAACAAAAAUGAGUUGAAGCUCUCCUCACCAUUGGGAUGUUCAGUGUUCUUGAAAUAGACAAACAAAGGAUCUUUAGAUGCAACCUUUGUCUGAAGAUACCCAACAAACUCCUCAAGAGUGACAUCACCGUGGACUUGGUAUCUGCAGUCAAAAAACACAGGAGACACAAUAAAACUACAUGAGAACCCCUUCUUAUAAGACCAACUCUUAUAUAUCUCCCUUCUUUUUUCAUUCGAUUUCGUUAACAUAUGAAAUACCAAGAGCAUGCACGAAAACGGGGGCAAUACAAACCAUGAUAACCAAGGCAAAAAGGAACCGGAAACUAACUUCUUUGCAUCAAGUUCAGGAAGGCCACUGCUUCCAUCCUUCUCCACAAUCACCUGCAGGGAUGCUCGUAUUAGAACAUGGUAUAGCCCCGUCUUAAUAAGCAUAACUGAUGUGCAGUGAAAUUCUCACCGGUACAUGAGACGGAUACCACUGCCUCAUUUUCUUAGCAUCUGAAAUACGCCGUUCCAGCACCUCCAAAGUACCCCUGAACAUUUGUCAAAAACAUUGAUGAUAAAUCAGCAAUCCCAUUCCACUGUAGCAAAUACGAAUCAAGAGAGGAGAACUAAAGCGCAAGGGAGGGACUGGGCAACUAACUUUGUAAAAUCAUUGAAAAUUCCAAGCUUCUCCGCGAUCACGUGCAUAGAGGCUCAAAUUAGAACAGAGUGUAUCCACUGAAAGUGUGGGGCGUAAACUUACUUAAUUCAGCUUAAAUUCUUACCUCAUCAAAUGAGCGUUUUAAAGCAUUCCUACCGUCUAACUCUUUAAUCCUCUGCAAGAAGGCUCAAAUUACAACAGGGAAUAUCCACUGAAUGACUAGGAAGUACAUGUGUCUGAUUCACUGAAAUUCUUACUGGUAUAUCACCGGAUCGAAAGACUACUCCUUCCUUUUUCCAAUCUGCACUGUAGGUCACGCGAAGAAAUCCAUCAUCGUCCUUGUUUUUCUCAUCGAUAGCAGACAUCAAGGCUCCUGUAACAACAUUGGAAGAAUUAGAGUCAUGCAACCGUAGACAAUCUGGGAUCAAGAUGGAUAUUAUCAGGCUGACCUAAAACAAGAAUGAAUUGCAGCACCGCUCACCAGUUUCGGGGACUGUGUUCUUGAAAUAGACAUAGAUAGGCCAUUCUGGUUCAAAGUCAGAAAGAAAUGACCGAAUGCAAUCAGCAAAUUCUGGGAGAGUCAUAUCAGGUUCGAGUAGGAAGCUGCAGUCCAAUGCAGGGGACAGGCAACAGAACCAUGUGAGAAGUGAGAACCCUAAGGCAAGCUAGGGAGGCAUCCUAUUCCAUUGUAGCAAUAUAUAUCAAAGACGACCAAAGCAAAAAGUAAAGGGAAAACGAACUGGGUCACAUUAGUAAUGUCAGGAAUGUCACUGCUUGGAUCCUUCUGCACAAUCACCUGUAAGGAGGAUGAAAUUAGAACCUGGUAUUAUGCCUCCGCUGAAUGCGUGCAUUGGAGGAAGUGAACAGAUAUGAUGGGGUAGAAUUCUUACUGGUGUACAAAGUGGAUGAGCGUCCCUCAAUUUCCAAGCAUCUAAAGUACGCGGUUUGUUUGCCUCCAAAAACCUCCUGUACCUGUAUCAGAAGCGCAUAGAUGAAAAAGGAAGAGACAUCCAAUCCUAUUGCAGCAACGCAAAAUAAAGAUAACUAAAAGCAAAAAGGGGGACAAGAACAAACUCACUCCGCCUCAUUGUAGUGUUGAGGAUACCGACGACAUUUCUCUGCGAAAGAUUCCUCGUCCGCAAGGGCAGCCUUGUCAGAAAUCACAAUUAGUGCAUAUAGGGAGGUCAAGCCAGAGAACGGGCAUUGGUAAAAACAUAUUUGGUUCGGCUAAAUCCUUACCACCGUAGACUUGUAGAUUGAAGAAUUCCAAGGGUCUAAAAACACAAGGGGCCUUGAGCAUGCUGAAAAUAUCAGACAAAGAAACAUCACACGGUUGGAAUUUGCGUUUGCAGGAAAAAAUGAAAAGAAAAGAAAAAUCCGGCCUUGGACAAACAAAGUCCAUGUCGUGGAACCCCUCAAACAUCAUAUACUACAGAGCACCACAGAAGUAUAGAAGAUAAAAAUUCCCACCAGACAGAUAGAUCAUAGAGGCAUAAAAUGUAUAGAAGAUAAAAGAAAUAAAAGCAAAACAAAUACAGCAACAAACCCACCCCUAGGAGGACUAAAUCCUUGCUUCCUGAAGCUUUCUUCGAGGACUUCACGACUUGUCUGCAAAUUUUCAAAAAGCAACACAACACCGAUCAAGAACAAAGUCGCAAAAUUAGGGUUGUGGUAAAUUGAAGAAUUGAUUGGUUUGGUUGAGAAACAAAAACAAUUAAUCAAAAUAUUCAAGGCGAACAAUCAUUUGAAUGUCUAAUCAAUAAUAUCAUCGGUAUAUAAAUUCUCAAAAAGCAACACAACACCGAUCAAGAACAAAGUCGCAAAAUUAGGGUUUUGGUACAUUGAAGAAUUGAUUUAACGGACGCACCUGUAUUGCCUUGCCGUCCCAGCUUCUUUUCUUCAUGUCGAAUUUUGUAUAUCUGCGCGCGUUUCUUCGGUAAAAACCAAGUAAAAAAAAAAAACACCAAUCCUCUCUUUUCCUAUUGGAAUGAGGAUUCUCUUCGAAUCUUUUUUGUGAGGAUCCUGACGUUGGAAUUUUUUUUUAUUGUUAUCGGAACAUAAAUGCAAUACCACUUGUUUUUAUAUAAGUAGUGAAAAAUAGAGGAUUUUUCCGUCAAACUGACAAACAAACCGUGUGAUAUAGCGGAUGUGGUCCAUCAGCCGGUCCAUAGUCUGACAAGUCUCCCGGUGGAUUUCAUGCUUCUGUCCUCAAUAGCCAACCACGAAAAUGACUUUGAAUUUUAGUUGCAGCAGAAAGCUGAUAGAGGAGAACGACAGACAGAAAAAUUCUUCCACGCAAGCUGAAUUUUAACUGCUGCUCUUACUUGAAGAUCACGCUCAACACUUUCUUGGCAGAGAUUGCAAGAUUUAUCCACAAUAGCAACCCCAUGAAUGUAUCUCAACCUUACAAGCCACCCACGAAUAUAUCUUUGGACAACAAUGGCAGCUUUGACUAGAUCAGGAGCAGAUAUAUCAUGAGUUACAAUACUUCCUCCCUCAUAAUUGCUUUUUCAGUAUUUUCUGCCCUUACUUGAAGAUCACGCACAACAUUUUCUUGGCACAGAUUGCAAGAUUUAUCUACAAGAGCAACCCCAUGAAUGUAUCUCAACCUUGCAAGCCACCCACGAAUAUAUCUUUGCACAACCAUAUAAAGGGAUCCCGUGCUAUUCAAAGGACAACCAUUGCAGACGACUGGGAGUAGUGAAGAAGCACCUGCAACAAACCAAUGCCAAUGCCAUUAACAUUUGUAAGUAUAGGUUUCUAUCCAAAAAUAGGGCGUGCAAUAUAUGUAAACAAAAUGGGUAAGAACCAGUUGGGGAAGGUUGUAGUAAUAUACCUAAGAGUCUAUGAGGAAUAGCACUUUUGAUUGUUGUUGUAGCCCGUCUUUGACACGAUAAGCAACUUCUGAUCAACCACCCACGGCAGUAUCUCUGAAAUUUGUAAGCACACUACUGAGACAUGAUACUUACACAGUAUAAAAUAAAAGCGGAGAAAAUAAUAGGCACCCAUCUGGAUUAUUUAGAUCCAACUGAUCUGUGAAACAGAAAAGAACGAUUAAAGGCCAAUUUCUCUUGCAACUCUAGAUCAUGUAAAGAUAAUACCAACAGGUAGCUGCAAAUUUCCCUAAAUAAAGCAGUUUAUUUACAGUAAGAAAUUAAAAGAUGCAGACCAUAAACCAAAUCAAUAAAAUAAAAUCUAAUUAGAACAGUUGUUAACACAAAAAAAAAAAAGCUACAAUUAACAACCCAAAAUAUUUCAUAAACUUUCAUAACGUUUCUUGCCAUGAAAGAAACAAAGAUUCAGAGGACUGGACCUUGUGUACAGCGACAUCGGCCGGCCACGACGAGUCGCAAUCCCUCUUCCGCGUGUGUUGCGUUACAAUGCGAUCUCCAUCCACGGACAAACUGCAGCCGCAGAAGGUAGGGUUUUGGAAGAGGAACUUGAGCCAGACGGAGAGAGAUUUGAGCGAACGCCCUUCCUUGAUUUGGGCCUUGCGAGACCACUGCGAGUGCUCGAGCUUGAAAACGUUGAGUUCCCGGGCCACCGCCUUUGUGCGGCCAUAGUUCGACGGAGCGAGAGACGGCCGGCGGUGAAAUGACGAAGAACUUCCGGGGUAAUGCUUCGAGCUCAAGAAAUCGGGGCAAGUGGAAUAGAAAUCCGAGAUGCGCGAUGGGCGUUUUGGGGUUUCGACCUCGGAAAUGUCUUUCAAGAGAGUGGACAAGUUUCUGUACGGCGACGGAGACGGCGGUGGUUCUUGGCCUUCCAUUGAGGGUUUCGGGAGUUUUUUGGGAAAAACCCGUUUUGGGGUUUUGAACUCGGAAAUGUCUUUCAAGAGAGUGGACGAGUUUCUGUACGGCGACGGAGACGGCUGCGUACACGGCGACGGAGACGGUGGUGGUUCUUGGCCUUCCAUUGAGGGUUUCGGGAGUGUUUUGGGAAAAACAUUUUUUGGGGUUUUGAACUCGGAAAUGUCUUUCAAGAGAGUGGACGGGUUUCUGUACGGCGACGGAGACGGCGGCGUACACGGCGACGGACACAGCGGUGGUUCUUGGCCUUGUUUCGCGCGUUUUUUUGGGCAAGGAAAAGCGAAAAUGGGGUCUUGAAUUUUCACUGGACUUGACAUUUUUUUACUUUUUUUUUAAUUUGACAACGGUUUGACGUGAAUUUAAUAAGCAGGACAAGCGGGGGAAAGGCUAUCAACUUUUAAGCGAUGCUCGACAUAGUGGACCAAAAGCAACAUUAACACCUAAAUUUCAAAGCCCAAAAGUAGCAUAAUAUGGGUCUUCAGCCACAACAUGCGAGUCCAAUACUAAUUUUUUGCAUAUAUAAAUUUUACAAAAGUGAUAGUGAUUUCAUUAACUAGCAAAAACAAAUACAAAGCUUACCAUAUGAAUAUAUUUUUCAGUGACCAAUUCAUUGGUAUGGAAAUAAUUUGCCAUAUUUGGCUACCACAAGCACUAUCAAUACUAGCACAAGCACACAUGGUUACAUUCGCUACAAAUGCGGCAGACGCAACGAUCCUAAACAAGCCACAUGUAAUGUCACCACCAACAAGCGAGACCACAUCAAACCCUCGCUGACAAGCAAUACCACAUCACUCGCUAGACGCGGUACAAACAAAACUUAUACUAAUCCGAUAAUUAAAUCCUCCCGUCCCUGAAUUUCACUAUUUUAAAUUCAUUAUUUCGUAUGUGGCUACGACGCAUUUAUACUUACAGCGUAUAAAUUUUUUCGAUAAGCAAAAAGACAAAAAUGCCCCCUAUUGUACUAAACGGAAUUCUUUAUGGACACACUUGAUCCUUUCAUAUUUUCCACAUUUCUUGGCAUGUUUGGGUAGUACUCGUCGAUAUGAACGCAUGGGUGCAAGCGGAACGUAAUUCGGAGCUAUAACGAAGAUUCUACGAAGCUUUGAAGUCAAGGGCAUUUUAGUAAUUUUACGAUUAUUUGGCACAUGAUCUUUUUGGCCGUUGGAUAUUGACGCGUGGGGAGCCUUCCCCACAUUUCUGGAACCUUCUCUCUCCUAUCUCUAAUCACCCCCGUGCAUCUCUCUUCUCUCGUCACUCUCUUCUCCCCCGUGAAAACCAAACCAACAUAAAUCAUUUUUCCGGCGAAUUGGACCCUUCAAACUUCAUCAUCAUGUUCUUCUUGAACCUAAAAAGGUGAAACCGUCAUUGGUUUCGUGAAAAUUCAAGCAGAGAUACGAGUUCGUGGACUUUGGUUUGAGCCGUACUUUCCGCGUCGAUUUCAGACAUCUUCCAGUCAUCUUUUGAACUCCAAAUAGGUGUAAAUCGAUUCCUCAUGUUCUGUAGAUGAAUUUUCAUUUUUGGAUCAUUGAUUUUGGUUAAUAAAUGACAAAGUUAUAAUGAUUUAAUGUUUACUCAAUAGUCCGGCUAGUUACCCAAUAUUCUCGCGGACCUGUUGCAUUUUCGGCCAUUUUACGGCCGCCUUCGGCCACCAUUUGACUUUCACCUGGUAAAUUAUGGUUCCUCCCAUCUCUAGCCUUGCUUUGAUAUAUUAUGCGUCAUAUUUGGUCGGGGAAUGAAGAAGUUUUGGAGCUUUAAAGUUUAUCCAAAUUUCCCAGGAAAAUCGAGUUGACCCGACCCGUGACCGUAUCCGACCCAUAUGGAAUAUUCUGUGGAUUACUUUUGGAGAAUAAUAUUCCCCAAGUUGACUUUUUUCAAAAAAAAUUCGGGAACCUUCUUAGGGUAUUUUAACGUGCUAAAUCCAUUUUUGACAUCCGUUUGGUGAAAUUCAAACAUUUUAACGUAGUUUCGUAAUUGAUCUCCACUUGAAUUUGUGAUUGGCGUAGAUCCGACCGUCGGAUUGUAACGGAAUUUUAAUAUGCUACUCCGUAUGGAUCCGUUGAGUGGUUUGGAAUCCAUCGUACUUUGCAAUUCCGUUGAGAGGUUUAUAAUCAUAUCCUGCUUUGGAUUUCGUUAAGUGGUAUAGGAUCGUAUCCCACUCGGAUUCUGUUGAAUGGUCCAGAGAACUUGGAGUGCUUAGGUUGCCCCUAUGCCUUUCCGUGUACCUUUCCUCACAUUUCUUUUGGAGUUUCAUUUUGGGAGCCUACGAGCGUGUACUGUUGUUGUACAAUUGUUGUAAAUGCUUUGGCGCAAAGGAAAUUUUGUUCUUUUGUUGGUCACGGGUUUGAGUCGUCGAACCCGGUAAAGUCAAAUUCCAGCCAGCUGGAAUUAGCGUAGUUAGUAUUAUAGGCUGCUGCAGGCAUACACACAUACGAAUAAUGUCAGUUAUCAACUAUCAAGUUACAUUCACCCCAAAACCAUACUAUAUAUAGAGACCAUCCGCCACUGAACCUGUCAUAUCCUCCUAGUGACGCCAGUUCUGGAUCAUGUCGAAUUCAAAUGAAAUUUCAUCUUCGUCUGGAUAACCAGGGAAUUUGCAGAACAGUGGCGAAUCCACACAUAACUCCUCCAUGGGGGAUGAAAGAGCGCAUCGAAUAGCCAGCAGUCCUCCCAAAACAAUACAUCCGAAAAACAGAAUAUUAUUAAAUACACUCAAACUUACUUUCAACUUCUAUCUUCUUUUCUCCGAAUGGCACCAGAUAACUAAAACAUUUUGGUCAUUGCGCUAAAAGUUCACUGCAAUCCCUUGAUCUCAAGGUUAAGUUUUCUUCAAGUCUAAAAACCAUAUCAUAUCUAAGCAGAGUCUAGUGAUAAAACAUUUCAACGAUCCACGCCAUUCAUCUCAACAUAAUAUCUAAGCAGGCCAGAGUCGUCAGACCACUGACUCAGAGAUCUUCAAUGCGUCCAGCCUCUCUCUUGUUCCACAGUAGGUCAUGCGAAGAAACCCGUCUUCAUCCCUGUUUUCCUCAUCAAUUGCAGACAUCAAGGUUCCUGUAACAACAUUGGAGGAAUUACUGAGAGGUAUUAAAUCCACCGCUAAUUUGGGCACAAGAUGGAUAUUAUCAAGUGGCAUAAAACAAAAAUGAGUUGAAGCUCUACUCACCAUUGGGAUGUUCAGUGUUCUUGAAAUACACAAACAAAGGAUCUUUACAUGCAACCUUUGUCUGAAGAUACCCAACAAACUCCUCAAGAGUGACAUCACCGUGGACUUGGUAUCUGCAGUCAAAAAACACAAGAGAAGCGAUAAAACUACAUGAGAACCCCUUCUUAUAAGACCAACUCCUAUAUAUCUCCCUUCUUUUUUCAUUCGAUUUCGUUAACAUAUGAAAUACCAAGAGCAUGCACGAAAAAGGGGGCAAUACAAAUCAUGAUACCCAAGGCAAAACGGAACCGGAAACUAACUUCUUUGCAUCAAGUUCAGGAAGGCCACUGCUUCCAUCCUUCUCCACAAUCACCUGCAGGGACGCUCGUAUUAGAACAUGGUAUAUGCCCCGUCUUAAUAAGCAUAACUGAUGUGCAGUGAAAUUCUCACCAGUUCAUGAGACGGAUACCACUGCCUCAUUUUCUUAGCAUCUGAAAUACGCCGUUCCAGCACCUCCAAAGUACCCCUGAACAUUUGUCAAAAACAUUGAUGAUAAAUCAGCAAUCCCAUUCCACUGUAGCAAAUACCAAUCAAGAGAGGAGAACUAAAGCGCAAGGGAGGGACUGGGCAACUAACUUUGUAAAAUCAUUGAAAAUUCCAAGCUUCUCCGCGAUCACGUGCAUAGAGGCUCAAAUUAGAACAGAGUGUAUCCACUGAAAGUGUGGGGCGUAAACUUACUUAAUUCAGCUUAAAUUCUUACCUCAUCAAAUGAGCGUUUUAAAGCAUUCCUACCGUCUAACUCUUUAAUCCUCUGCAAGAAGGCUCAAAUUACAACAGGGAAUAUCCACUGAAUGACUAGGAAGUACAUGUGUCUGAUUCACUGAAAUUCUUACUGGUAUAUCACCGGAUCGAAAGACUACUCCUUCCUUUUUCCAAUCUGCACUGUAGGUCACGCGAAGAAAUCCAUCAUCGUCCUUGUUUUUCUCAUCGAUAGCAGACAUCAAGGCUCCUGUAACAACAUUGGAAGAAUUAGAGUCAUGGCAACCGUAGACAAUCUGGGAUCAAGAUGGAUAUUAUCAGGCUGACCUAAAACAAGAAUGAAUUGCAGCACUGCUCACCAGUUUUGGGGACUGUGUUCUUGAAAUAGACAUAGAUAGGCCAUUCUGGUUCAAAGUCGGAAAGAAAUGACCGAAUGCAAUCAGCAAAUUCUGGGAGAGUCAUAUCAGGUUCGAGUAGGAAGCUGCAGUCCAAUGCAGGGGACAGGCAACAGAACCAUGUGAGAAGUGAGAACCCUAAGGCAAGCUAGGGAGGCAUCCUAUUCCAUUGUAGCAAUAUAUAUCAAAGACGACCAAAGCAAAAAGUAAAGGGAAAACGAACUGGGUCACAUUAGUAAUGUCAGGAAUGUCGCUGCUUGGAUCCUUCUGCACAAUCACCUGUAAGGAGGAUGAAAUUAGAACCUGGUAUUACGCCUCCGCUGAAUGCGUGCAUUGGAGGAAGUGAACAGAUAUGAUGGGGUAGAAUUCUUACUGGUGUACAAAGUGGAUGAGCGUCCCUCAAUUUCCAAGCAUCUAAUGUACGCGGUUUGUUUGCCUCCAAAAUCCUCCUGUACCUGUAUCAGAAGCGCAUAGAUGAAAAAGGAAGAGUCAUCCAAUCCCAUUGCAGCAACGCAAAAUAAAGAUAACUAAAAGCAAAAAGGGGUACAAGAACAAACUCACUUCGCCUCAUUGUAGUGUUGAGGAUACCGACGACAUUUCUCCGCGAAAGAUUUCUCGUCCGCAAGGGCAGCCUUGUCAGAAAUCACAAUUAGUGCAUAUAGGGAGGACGAGCAUUGCGUAAAAACAUAUUUGGUUCGGCUAAAUCCUUACCACCGUUGACUUGUAGAUUGAAGAAUUCCAUGGGUCUAAAACCACAAGGGGCCUUGAGCAUGCUGAAAAUAUCGGACAAAGAAACAUCACAAUGUUGGAAUUCGUGUUUGCAGGAAGAAAAAAAAAAAACAGAAAAAACAAAGUCCAUGUCUUGGAACCCCUCACACAUCAUAUACUACAGAGCACCACAGAAGUUUGGUACAAUCCAAUUUAGCGGAAAAAAGAGAGUUGGAUACAAAAAUAAGAAUUCCCACCAGACAGACAGAUCGUAGAGGCAUAAAAUGUAUAGAAGAAAAAAGAAAUAAAAGCAAAACAAAUACAGCAACAAACCCACCCCUAGGAGGACUAAAUCCUUGCUUCCUGAAGCUUUCUUCGAGGACUUCACGACUUGUCUGCAAAUUUUCAAAAAGCAACACAACACCGAUCAAGAACAAAGUCGCAAAAUUAGGGUUGUGGUAAAUUGAAGAAUUGAUCGGUUUGGUUGAGAAACAAUAACAACCAAUCGAAAUAUUCAAGGCAAACAAUCAUUUGAAUGUCUAAUCAAUUAUAUCAUCGGUAUAUAAAUUCUCAAAAAGAACACAACACCGAUCAAGAACAAAGUCGCAAAAUUAGGGUUUUGGUAAAUUGAAGAAUUGAUUUAACGGACGCACCUGUAUUGCCUUGCCGUCUUUUCUUCUUUUCUUCAUGUCGAAUUUUGUAUAUCUGCGCGCGUUUCUCCGGUAAAAACCAAGUAAAAAAAAAAAACACCAAUCCUCUCUUUUCCUAUUGGAAUGAGGAUUCUCUCCGAAUCUUCUUGGUGAGGAUCCUAACGUUGGAAUUAUUUUUUAUUGUUAUCAGAACAUGAAAGUAAUACCACUUGUUUUUAUAUAAGUAGUGAAAAAGUGAGCAUUCUCACAGAGAGAAUUCGAAGAAGAUCCUUAUUUUUGGCAUUGACCCAACGACGUUGUUGGGCCGACGUGUCAUAGUAAUUUUAUAGUAUUGGGCUCGCAUGUUGUUGGGCUCAAGGCCCACUAGGCCCACUUUCGGGUUUUGAAAUAUAAAAGAAGACGUUAGGGUUGUUUAGGUCAUUAAGCGUCGUCUAUCGCCAUUCCCCGCUCUGUCUUCUGGGCAUUUCAAAUUCAAACCAAGUCAAAAUUCAAACCCCUCUUCGCGUUUCUCAGCCACAGACUGAGCCAGCGAAGCCCCCAAUGGAAGGCCGAGAGCCACCGCCGUCUCCGUCGCCGUCGCCUUACAGAAACCCCUCCACUCUCUUCAAAGACAUCACCAAUUUCAAAACCCCUAAACCCUCAUCGCCGUCGCCUUACAGAAACCCCUCCACUCUCUUCAAAGACAUCACCAAUUUGCAAGGUUGAGAUACAUUCAUGGGGUUGCUCUUGUAGAUAAAUCUUGCAAUCUGUGCCAAGAAAAUGUUGUGCGUGAUCUUCAAGUAAGGGCAGAAAAUACUGAAAAAAGCAAUUAUGAGGGAGGAACUAUUGUAACUCAUGAUAUAUCUGCUCCUGACCUAGUCAAAGCUGCCAUUGUUAUCCAAAGAUAUAUUCAUGGGCUUGAUCUUGUAGAUAAAUCUUCCAAUCUCUGCCAAGAAAGUGUUGCGCGUGACCUUCAAGUAAGGGCAGCAGUUAAAAUCCAGCUUGCGUGGAAGAAUUUUUCUGUCUGUCAUUCUCUUCUCUAUCAGCUUUCCGCUGCAACUAAAAUUCAAAGUCAUUUUCGUGGUUGGCUAGUGAGGAGGAGGUCUCACAUUAAAGGGCAAGCAAUAAUAAAAAUCCAAAGUGUUUAUCGAAUGUCAAGAUGCUGGAAGGCUUAUCAGCAGUACAAAAUUGCAGCUGGUUCAGCCACCGUCAUUCAAUCUUAUAUACGUGGAUGUUUUGCCCGGAAAGGCGCUGAAAAUCAUAGGCUUCUCAUUGUUGCAAUCCAAGUAAGUAUUUCUCCAUGUCUUCUGAGCAUAUAGGGCAGCAGAAACCUUGUCAUAUUAAAGCAAUCUUUUGUAUGCAACUUCAUUCUAUUGUAGUGGUAUUUAUACUGUCUAGAUGAGUGACUAUAAUUUUCUCCCCUUUUCUAUUGUGCAAGUAUCAUGUCUCAGUAAUGUGCUUAAAUGAUUUCAGAGAUACUUCCGUGGUUGGUUGAUCAGAAGUCAAUUCUCGUGUCAAAGACAGGCUGCAAUAAAGAUCCAAAGCUCUAUUCGAGGCUUGAUAUGGCGUCAAUCAUUUCAUCGUCAUAGACAAGCUGCAGUGGAAAUUCAACGGAUAGUCAGGGGGCAGAUUAGUCGAAAUAGGCUCUUAGGUAUAUUACUACAACCUUUCCCGACUGCUUCCUACACAUUUUAUUUAUUUGUGUUGCAUGUUCUAGCUUUGAAUAUAAACUUAUAGUUACAAAUGUUUAUGGCUUUGGUUUGUUGCAGGUGCUGCUUCACUAUGCCCAAUCGUCCGCAAUGGUUGUCCUUUGAAUAGCACAGGAGCCCUUUAUAUGGGUGCUGAACUAAAUAAAGUUUAGUUUGGGUUCUGACUUUUGGGGGAGAAAAGGGAAUCGAGAAGAUUCGAACCCGAGUGGAGAGGGUCACAGAAGUGCUUGAUUUUUACCGAUGACAUAGUUCUUUGUUCUACAUGUGAUUUUAUGGCUAUUUUAUUUCAUGAAGCAAAAUUUGCACCAUAACCAAAUGCGAUAUGAGGAACAAAGAACAUUCGCGAAGUGAAAUCCAACAGUGGUCGAGAGGUUCAUCAAUUGCUUGGUUACCAUGUUGUUUGUUUCGCGGAGAUGUGUUUUACAGAUUGCUGGUGUUCUCAAUCACGUCUAGGUUUUCUUUCUCACCUGCUUCUGUUUUCUUCUUAUAUUCUUGGACUACAACACUCUCGAAACGAUCGACAGAAGUGGGAGGAAGAACGCAGACAAUGCUGGGACACAUACGCUGAAAGGCUUACCGGGUUUUUGACGCGACACUCAAAGAGGAAGCUUUCAUGGAAGCUGGGGUAUCGAGGGAGAUGAAACCAGAAUAUAUACCAGUGACUGUGGGGAAAGAUGACAUUCCUGACAUAUGCAUGAAUAUAUAUCGUGUCUCUGGUAUUAUGCAUAUGUCAGAAAUGUCCUCUUUCUCCGGUCAUGACAGCCAUGACAAAGCCUAGUUAUAUAAGGACGAGCAAUAUUGGAUAGGGAAGAUUUGUCCUCAGUUGUAUACGACCUACGACCUUCGCAAGGAGUCAAGGUUCGACGAGUUCGAUUUCAACAUUUUGCUUUGAAAGCUUGAAUACAUCCCACCUGCUAUGACCGGUGUUAGCUUUGUAUAGAAAACCCCAAAACAAACCACAACCCCACCACCCUCCCUGCAAAUACCAACUCAAACAAGGAGACCAAACCCACAAAUUGUCGCCCAACAACAAAAUCUAAACCAACAAAUUUGGGUUUGACCCAAAUGUUGGGGGGCCCGCCCUUUUUUUUAAGGAAGUUUUAACGAAAAGCUCGUGGUGCUGUUCAUUUUAACGAAAAAUUACAUUUUUACACUAAAAAGUCAAUCAUGAUACUAUUCACUUUACCUUUUAUUUUGUCAUUAUCGUUAAAACUCAAAGUUUUCAAGCUAUUUUCAUUAGUUUUUUUUUUUAAGGGCACGGGACUUUGGAUGUAAUGGUCGAUAGUUGGCUUCGUGUGUUAGGGGGGGCUGUAUGUCCAACGGUAAUCUGGAUUAACUACGCGCCAUUCGAUUUUUGGAUCAUUGGUUAUCAACAAAUCCAUAUUACAAUCUUUUUUUCAGCAAUCUUUUAAAUUUGAUCUAAUGGUCCGUUUCAAAUCCAACGGUCAAACUAGUAGAAUAAACUUUUUUAGACAGGCCCAUUGUAAUAUUAUUUUCAUCGCCAAACUAUGUCUCGAAUAUAAACUACAUCUCAAUGUCGUUGAAAUAACAAAGUGUAUCACUCUAGAUACGAGGAUGAUGGGUUUUAUGAUUUUGUUAAAUUCCCCUUGUACAGAGGAAAGGGAGGAAGGAAAAUUUAUUGUUGUUUGGUGAUUGUUUAGGUAGUUUUCACUGGUAGAUAUUGAAGUUUGGCUGGUGUAUGUAUUGAAGUUUGCUUGGUUGUUUGUGUAUUGAAGUUUGGUUGGUGCGUGUAUUAAAGUUUGGUUGUUGGUUUGUUUAUUAAAGUUUGGUUGAUGUGUGUAUUGAAGUUUGGUUAGUGUGAUUUGUUCGGUUUUCUAAAUUAUCGGAAUUUAAAUUUAUUUGGGUUAAAACAUUCAUAAAAUAAAAUUAAGAUAACCUAAAGUUAAAAAAAAAAUCUUAGCAAAAGAAAUAAAUUAAGAUAACCUCAUGUUUCUCUUUGUCUUAAGCCCAUUGUCUUUUUUUAUUGACUACAACCUGAUAACUAUGUGUCUUUUUUCUUCGCUACAACUUGAUAAUAUAAUUCACUAGGAAAAUUACCUAAUAAUGUUUGUACGUAAUAUUUCACACGUUUUGUGUUUCCAAAAUUACCUUCAUAUCAAUUUUAUUUGUUGGCUUCCUAAGAUCAAAUCACCAUGAAAAGGAUCAUCUACUUGACAUGAACUCACCAAACCCACCUCUCCACAUUAGUAGUCAAAUGGAACUUGAAUCCAUGACUGGUCCAAGAAUAAAUUUAUAUCGAGUUCGACAUUCACAAUAUUCGAACUUAAAACCCUAAACCAUAAGAGCAUCUCCAAUAUCACCACCUUCAGAACACAUUAAGGAGCUCCACCAACCCUAAACCAUAAGAUUUCAACUUUUUGCAUCUGUUGGAUUGAUUUUCUUAUCUUAAUUUCAUCCGUCGGAUUGUUAUCUUUUUUUUUUUUUUUACUUUUUAUAUUUUCACUAUAAAAGUAAGAUCUCUAUAUCUUUCACAUCCAUCAUUUUCCUUUUUAUAAAAGUAAGGUCUCUAUAGCUCAUCUUCCGUUGACAAUAGCUUGAUGGUUAGGACGGCUGUUUGCGAGGAGAAAAUCGUAGGCAAAUUGGAUAUCUUUUUUGGAAUGGGGAGUUUUGGGGAUUUGGGGAUUUGGGUAAGUAAUACUUUAAUUGACUAUUUGGAUCCACAUCUAUUUCUUCAAUAUAUUUUAGUUAAAUAUAUGUGGUUUUUGCUUGCUUUUUAUACAUGAAUUUUCUUUAGAACUUAUCACGCCACCUGUGACUAAAUGCGAGUCCAGGUAUUCCAUACCCCCGUUCACGUCUACUGCAGCCGCACUUAUUUCCUGCAGGUUCAUACCACAGUUGACCUUGAACACGACCUUGUCCGUCACUCUGCAUCCUCCCAAACCUGCACGGACCUCAUUUACAAUGUGUCACUGUCAAUGUCAACGUUGCUCUAGUACUGUCAUAACCUCAUCAUGAGCAAUUCCCUUUCUUGAGCAUUGGGCUUAUCUCGCCUGCACAGCGGAACCCUCCGGUAGGGGCGGCGAGCUUUAAUUUUUUGUUUGAACGUGCCUGCACGUCUACCUCCACCCCCAGCCCCACCGCCUCAUUUGUUUGGACAAAGGCGUCCUAUGCCUUUUCCCGCCCCAAGAAGACCUCCAUCAUCAUCAGCUCGGGCUCCACCACCCAAGCCGCCUUUGUGGGAGGCCGCACAUAACGUUUGGUAGGAAUAUUGUUUGCAAAACCAAUCAAUCAAGAAUCAUGAACAAACCAUGGAAAACUAGUCCAAUCAAAUCCAUACUGUAAAUGCAUGAUCAGAUACAAAGAUAUGUACCAAUCAAAUCCAUAUUGUAAAUAAAUGAUUUGCAAAUCUACGGAACACAAUCGAUAAUGUCAUCGAUAUAUAUAAAUUUUAUCAUCGGAUUUAACAGACGCACCUGUAUUGCCUUGCCUUCCCUUCUUCUUUUCUUCAUGUCGAAUUUUGUAUAUCUGCGCAAGUUUCUUCUGUAAAAACCAAGUAAAAAAAAAAACACCAAUCUGUUGUAAACAUUCCUAGUUUAAGUAUGAUUGUGUAAAUCCUAGAUAAGAUUUGAUUCUAGUUAUCCUUUCCUAUUACAACUUGUAUUACUUAGAGGAGAAGAAAUAUCUUCUCUCCCUUUACUACUAUAAAUAAAGGCACAAUGUAGGAGGGAUAACAACACACACAUUCCCCUACAAUUCUACAAACACACAUCUCUCUCCUCUCUCUCUCUGCCGCCGGCCCUAGUCCCUCUGUCAGAUAAAAUAGACCACAACACGUUAUCAGCACGCUCCUACCGCUGCGCUUAGGAAUCUGACGUUGGAGAUUUUUUUUCUGCAUCAAACCAGUUCAUCCAUAUCAUCACGAAAUCAGGUUCUUUCCAAACAACGGCUUUAACUCGAUAUUUUGCAAGCCCUGAUAGCAUGAACAUUCACCAUGAUGCAUGACCCAACUUUACGUUUUACGUAUUUUAGAUUCUACAUAAAUUGUGUAUGCUUCAUAAUCAAAAUUGCUACAAUUAUGUGAAUUUGAUAUUUGUCAUGAAUUGAAUCCUACAUAUGUACAUGCAUUGAAACUAUUAUUUGCAUAUGCAUCAACGUAAAUAUGUGAUUCAUUGAAUUUUACAUGCAUAUAUUUAUAUUUGAAUUGAAAAUUUUUGCGGUUGGGGAAAUUAGGGUUCUAGUCGAACCCGUGCCUGUGCACCAUGCAAGGCCGCAAGCCACCAGGCCCGCAGCCUGCGAUGGCCCAACCCAAACCGAGAACCCACACCCGCAAGCAUGGAACCACACGGUGCGUUUGAAGCACCUUGUCCCGACCUACGGCCUGAAGCCCAGGUCCUUGCCGUCGAGUCUUCCGACGCAACACGACCGGCAGUCAUGCAAAUUGGACACAACCCAUCGUUUUCAAUAACGAUUCCGUGCAAUUCCAGAAGAAUUCCAUGGGUUUUUUUCAUUUGAAUUCAGUUGAAUUUUUUGGUUCUAUUUGCCCCGACGUCGAGAUUUCAUCUCCGUCGAUGAGUACUUGGUUCUCCGACGACCCAUGGUUUGCACAGACCAUGGACUGUCUCCUGCAUUGGCGCCGUCAAUCAAAGAACGGCCUUCUUCCCCGAUUGACACACCCAGCUACGGCUGGGAUGUUUUGGUCCUGCAACCCGAGCCCUAGUGGGCUUCAGCCUCUCGGCCCGUGCGAAAAAAAGAUUUUUUUGUUCUUGGGCCAGCCUAAUGCUGCCCGCGUGAAAGAAAAAAAUGAUGAUUUAGGGCUGCACACAGCAGCCCAUUCCCUUCUCACCCCGUGGGCCUGCAGCCUACACCCGGGGGUCCUCGGCCUAUAUUUUUCGGCCCCGAGAUUUUAUUAUUUAAUUUUUUUUUAAAUAAUAUGGGUUUUUAUAUUUUCACCCACACUUUAAUUUGGCCCCGAAGACCAAAAAUAAAUUAAUUCACUUAUCAUUAUACAAUAUUUCUGCAUAUAUUCUUUGCAUAUUUGUUUGCAUAUAUAUUUGUGUUUGCCUGCAGGAAUAUAUGAACCUGAAGUUCAUAAUUACCUUGAAACCCGAAGUUUCUUAUACACAUGCCUUGUUAGAAAACCCGAAGUUUUCACUUAAAUAUAUCACCCAUGAAAACCUGAAGUUUUUCAUGCAAAAUUAAACCAAUACAUGUCUAUUAGAACCUGUAUGUUAUACUCCUAUGUGAAUGGAUUGAUUUUUCUCCAUUACACUAACCACAUAUUGUCCAUCUAUUUUGUGAUAGGAACAUGUCGAACUUGAACAAACUCGACUUCACCGCUUUGGAGGUUUCUAGAAGGAACUACCUCAAGUGGGUUCAAGAUGUGAAGCUCCACCUCACUGCAAAGAAUUUGUGUCCUGCUAUUGAAGAAGCAACAGAUAAACCUGUUGGCGAGGCUGAAAAAGCCACUGCUAUGAUCUUCAUCCGAAGACAUAUCCAUGACGCUCUACAAACUGAGUACCUUGCUGAGGAGGAUCCACGUGCAUUAUGGGUCGCUUUGGCUGAUCGUUUCGAUCACCAAAAGGACAUAUUCUUGCCUGAAGCAAGACACGACUGGCAGCACUUGCGCUUCCAAGACUUUAAGUCUGUGAAUGAAUAUAAUUCUGAAGUUUGUCGAAUCCGAUCAUUUCUCAAGUUUUGCAAUGAAACUUUGACUGAAGAGGAUCUCCUGGAGAAGACCUACUCGACCUUCUCUGCUUCUAAUAUUGUCCUGCAGCAACAAUAUAGAGCUCAGAAGUUCACUAAGUUCUCGGAUUUGAUCUCUGUUUUACUUCUUGCUGAAAAGCAGAACCAGCUGUUGAUGAAGAAUCAUCAAGCUCGACCUACUGGGGCUACUGUUGUGCCUGAAGCACAUUAUAGCACUAAUCAGCACCCAAAACGCCAAAAGAUGCGUGGUAAGGGCGGCCAGAAGCCAUCCCACCAAGGUCAACAGAGCCAAGGCCCAUCCAAGGGAGGAAACAAAUCCCAGAAGCGCCCAAACCUCGCUCCCAAGGCCCCGAACUUCAAGAAUAAGGGCAAAGCACAUGCCACAAUGAAUGACGAUAUGUGCUAUCGUUGUGGUUCCAAGGACCAUUGGUCCCGUAUUUGCCGUGCUCCCAAGAAGGUUGUGGAUGCAUAUCAUUCUCGUCGUACGAAGUUUGAAUCAAACUUCCUGCAAGUGGACGAACCGGAGACUACAAAGAUGGAGGUUUCUGAUUUUCAGGAGGAUACCACUCCUAUGGAAGAUUAGAAUCUUAGACAUAGACUUAUUUUUCAGUUAAAAUAAGACAAUUGGGGCCGAAUUCCACCUAGUGGCCGAACCCCCACCUUGUUUUUUGGUUGAUUUUGAACAAUUUUCCUUUAUGUUUUGGAUUAUUAGUUGGCGAUUUAUUUUGGAUAUUAAGUUUUUUCCUUGAAUAAAUGAAAUUAUUUUGAAUUGAUACUUGUUUUUUAUAAACUUUUAUGCAUGUGACCGAUUCAAAUUAAUUUUUCAUUCUAGGUAUGACUAGUGGGAAAGUUUAGUUGUCUGGCAGAUAGUGCAACCACGCAUACUGUUUUGCGUGAACGCAUCUAUUUCACUAACUUCGUACCUAAGAAUGCACCUCUGACAACCCUCUCAGGCCCAUCCAACCUGAUCGAAGGAUACGGUAAGGCACGUAUAAUGUUGUCCAAUGGUACAAUCUUGACCAUUGCUGAGGCACUCUAUUCUCCACGUUCCGGAAGAACGUUACUAAGUUUCAAGGACAUUAGAGAUAACAAUUACCACGCUGAAACCCACGUAGAAAACGGAGUUGAAUUUCUGUGCGUAACUUCCUACGAAUAUGGCCAGAAGCGUAUUCUAGAGAAGAUGGAGCGUAACCCGAGUGGUCUGUAUACUACGACCAUACGCCCCAUAGAAUGCCACUAUGUGGCCGGCCCUACCACAGGGACCGCGCACGAAAUUACACUUUGGCAUGAUCGUUUGGGACAUCCUGGACAAAUAGCGAUGCGCCGUAUCCUCAAAACUUCACACGGGCAUCCACUAACCCGAAGCUUAGGUUCGAUCCAUGAAAUUGCAUGUCAAACAUGUUCUAUGGGAAAGCUUAUUACUAAGCCUUCUUAUGACAAGAUUCGUUCGAAUCCUCCCAUUUUUCUACAACGGAUUCAGGGGGACAUUUGUGGACCGAUUCAACCUCCCUGCGGACCAUUUAGAUAUUUUAUGGUUUUGGUUGACGCUUCUACAUGUUGGUCACACGUGUGCUUGUUGUCCACAAGGAACGUUGCAUUCUCCAAACUGUUGGCUCAGGUUAUCAAGCUCAGGGCUCACCACCCUGAUUAUCCGAUCAAAUCUAUUCGAUUGGAUAAUGCUGGAGAAUUCACAUCUAAAACUUUUGAUGACUAUUGCAUGUCGGUUGGGGUUGAAGUUGAACAUCCUGUACCCCAUGUUCACACCCAUAACGGCCUGGCAUAGGCUUUCAUUAAGCGUUUACAAAUGAUUGCUCGAUCGUUGGUCAUACGUACCAAGCUCCCGAUCGCUGCUUGGGGCCAUGCAAUAUUGCACGCAGCAAAGUUGGUCCGCCUGAGGCCUGUUGCGACACAACCAUUUAGUGCCCUUCAGUUGGUCACCGGAUGCGAACCCGACAUAUCGCAUCUGCGCGUUUUUGGUUGUGCGGUCUAUGUGCCGAUCUCGCCGCCCUUACGUACAAAAAUGGGGCCUCAGCGAAGGAUGGGAAUCUAUGUCGGAUAUGAUUCUCAUUCGAUUAUUCGUUACUUAGAACCUUUGACAGGCGAUCUGUUUACCGCUCGUUUCACGGAUUGUCACUUCUAUGAGACAGUCUUCCCGUCGUUAGGGGGAGAUAAGAACGUCAACGUUCCUAAUGAACGACACGAUUAUCGUGGACGACUUCCACUUUGUCUCAUUUAGAUCCCCGCACCGCUCAGUCUGAAGCUGAAGUGCAGCGCAUAUUAGAUCUCCAGAGCAUAGCUCAGAGCAUGCCAGAUGCUUUCACCGAUCUAGCGCGCGUGACAAGAUCACAUAUUCCAGCUGCGAAUACGCCUGCAAAGAUGGAUGUACCAAAUGUACGACAGACUACCCUCCUGGAAGCCCGGGACGCCAAUUCUGGUGAUCCACGUACAUUAGCGGCUAACCAAUCAUCUGCCCCUACACAAAAGCGUGGCAGACCCCUUGGUUCAAAGGAUUCACACCCCCGGAAGAGGAAAACCACGACACAAGGUCCUGAAGAGCCUACCGUGAAUCCGACUAUCGCUUACUCAUUUUACCCAACUCAUGAGGAAAUUCUAGAUUAUGGAAGCGUCAUUGAAGAGACGAAUCCUCCUCCCGAGAAUCGUGAGAUUUCGGUCUAUUAUGCUAGCUUAGAUGAUGUGUGGCGUAGAAAUGAGAUGAUUGUCGACGAUGCAUUAGUAUUUGCAGUAGCUACUGAGAUCAUGUUGAGCGAUGACAUUGAACCGCGUUCCGUUGAUGAAUGUCGACGUAGAGCUGAUUGGUCAAACUGGAAACAAGCAAUCCAAGUCGAACUUGAUUCACUUGCGAAACGUAAGGUGUUUGGACCUGUAGUUCCUACUCCUCCACAUGUGAAGCCCGUUGGCUACAAGUGGGUUUUCGUUCGGAAGCGUAAUGAGAAGAACGAAAUUGUGCGUUACAAAGCUCGUCUUGUAGCAUAAGGUUUCUCACAACGCCCCGGGAUUGACUAUGACGAAACUUACUCACCCGUUAUGGAUGUGAUUACUUUUCGAUACCUUAUCAGUUUGGUAGUUUCCGAAAAACUGGAUAUGCAGCUGAUGGACGUAGUAACCGCGUAUCUAUAUGGGGAUCUUGAUACGGAAAUUUAUUUGAAAGUUCCCGAAGGACUUACAUUGACUGGUUCAAAUAUUUCCAAACCCCGGAACACGCUCUCAAUUCGGCUGAGGCGUUCACUAUACGGUUUGAAACAAUCCGGAAGAAUGUGGUAUAACCGUUUAAGUGAGUAUUUGACUAGUCAGGGAUAUGUGAAUAACGAACUAUGCCCUUGUGUGUUCAUUAAGAAGUCACAUUCCGGAUUUGCGAUUGUUGCAGUAUAUGUCGAUGACAUGAAUCUCAUCGGAACUCCUGAAGAGCUCGCGAGAACUGCUUCGCACCUGAAGUCGGAAUUUGAGAUGAAAGAUCUAGGUAAGACUCGAUACUGUCUCGGCCUCGAGAUAGAGCAUUGUUCGGAUGGAAUCCUAGUACAUCAAUCGAACUACACCCAGAAGGUGUUGCGCCGUUUUAAUGAGGAUAAAGCGAAGCCUUCGAGUACUCCUAUGGUCGUUCGUACGCUAGAUGCAAAGCGAGAUCCCUUCCAUCCGAAGGAGGAUGAUGAAGAGAUUUUGGAGCCUGAAGUUCCUUAUCUAAGUGCGAUAGGCGCUUUAUUGUACUUAGCUCAAUGCACUAGACCCGACAUCUCCUUCGCUGUUAAUCUUUUGGCAAGAUACAGCAAUGCACCAACACGCAGACAUUGGACUGGCGUGAAAGACAUCUUCCGUUACCUUAAGGGUACUACGGAUUUGGGCUUAUUCUAUCCCUACGAAUCCUCGAGUGAUGCCGUACCCUAUGCUCAUCGGGUUGAUUCUCGCCUUGUUGGUUAUGCCGACGCUGGAUACUUAUCUGAUCCGCACAAGGCGCGUUCUCAAACGAGUUAUGUCUUUACCGUUGGAGGCACCGCAAUAUCUUGGAGGUCAACUAAACAGACCUUAGUUGCCACUUUCGUCUAACCAUGCUGAAAUUCUCGCCUUACAUGAAGCAACUCGGGAAUGCUUUUGGUUGAGAGCAGUAGUGGGCCAUAUUCGAAGCUCCUGUGAUCUUCAUCCCGCCGUUAAUGCCCCGACGACGAUUUUUGAAGACAACGCAGCUUGCAUCGAACAGCUCAAGAAGGGUUACAUCAAAGGAGACAACACCAAGCAUAUUGCGCCGAAGUUCUUCUUUACACAUCAACAACAAGAGCAUCAGAAGAUUGAAGUCACGCAAAUCCGAUCACAAGACAAUCUGGCCGACCUCUUCACCAAAUCACUACCGAAGGCGACGUUUCAGAAGCUUGUUCAUGGAAUUGGUAUGCGUAAACUUUCUGAGUUGUAACUUUGCUAUUUCUCUGUGGAAUUAUGUCAAACUCAGGGGGAGUAUCUUCUAGAUACUUGCUUGAUCUUAAUGUACUCUUUUUCCCUACGAUUAGGAGCAUUUUUCCCACUGGGUUUUUGCUACCUAACUAGGUUUUAACGAGGCACCCACCUUGGGCUGGUCAUAUCCCUGAUGACGUCCUGUAGACGUUUCUUUUGACUUUGCAUUUCUCACGCAUUUUUCCUUAGACUAUGGAUUUUGUCCCUACUUGGGUUUUUGCCAUAGCCUUAGGGUUUUUUAGUGAGACUUACUACUUAUGCAAGUUCCUACCUUAUUGAGAAUAAGCGUUGUUCCUUGGAAUCAAUGCCGACGAGUCGACUUCCUCAACUUCUGCAUGAUGCUGAAUCUACCUUGAGUAUUUACCCACUCAAGGGGGAGUGUUGUAAACAUUCCUAGUUUAAGUAUGAUUGUGUAAAUCCUAGAUAAGAUUUGAUUCUAGUUAUUCUUUCCUAUUACAACUUGUAUUACUUGGAGGAGAAGAAAUAUUCUUCUCUCCCUUUACUACUAUAAAUAAAGGCACAAUGUAGGAGGGAUAACAACACACACAUUCCCCUACAAUUCUACAAACACACAUCUCUCUCCUCUCUCUCUCUGCCGCCGGCCCUAGUCCCUCUGUCAGAUAAAAUAGACCACAACACAAUCCUCUCUUUUCCUAUUGGAAUGAGGAUUUUCUCCCAAUCUUCUUUGUGAUGAUCCUGACAUUGAAAAUUUUAUUUUAUUUUACCGGAAUAUGGAUGGAACACCACUUGUUUUCAUAUAAGUAGUAGAAAAUAGAAGAUCUUCACAGAGAGAAUUCGAAGAGGAUCCUCAAUCCAACCAUUGACCUAACGAUGUUGUUGGGCUGACGUGUCAUAGUAAUUUUAUAGUAUUGGGCUCGCAUGAUGUUGGGCUCAAGGCCCACUAGGCCUACUUCGGGUUUUGAAAUAUAAAAGUAGACGUUGGAGUUGUUUUGGUCAUUAAGCGUCGUCUAUCGCCAUUCCCCGCUCUCUCUUCUGGCCCUCUGGGCAUUUCAAAUUCAAACCAAGUCAAAAUUCAAACCCCUCUUCGCGUUUCUCAGCCACAGACUGAGCCAAGAAGCCCCCAAUGGAAGGCCGAGAGCCACCGCCUUCUCCGUCGCCGUCGCCUUACAGAAACCCCUCCACUCUCUUCAAAGACAUCACCAAUUUCAAAACCCCGAAACCCUCCUCGCGAAUCUCCAAUUUCCAGUCCCCCGGCCCCAAAUUCUUCACUGCCUCGAAACAAACCCCUGGUACUUCUUCGUCAUUUCGCCGCAGGCCGUCUCUCGCUCCGUCAAACUCUGGCCGGAUAAAGGCGGCGUCCCGGAAACUCAAGGCAUUUGAGCUCGAGCAGUCGCAGUCGUCCCGCAAGGCCCAAAUUCAGAAAGAACAAUCGCUCAAGUCGCUGGCCAAGUCUCUCUCCGUCUGGCUCAAUUUCCUCUUUCAAAACCCUACAUCCUGUGGCUGCAAUUUGUCCGUCGAUGGAGACCGCACGGGAACGCUCCCCAAGGGAAAGAGGGAUAGCGAUCCCGGCAGUGCGGUUGGGGUUGAUUCGGCGUGGCGGGACCCCAAGCGUCAGAGAGACUCGUCGUGGCGGGCCGUGAGCGCUGUAGCGUUUUCGAGCUCCAAGUAUUCGAACCUGCGUUCUUCGUUGGAGCAUGUGUGCAGUGUUGAUGAUUUGACGCAGAGGAUGCGACUCUAUCUGAGCAUGGGCAGUUGCAAGGAGGUUUUCGAUGCGAUGACUCAUGUAGCAAAGGUUUGAAUUCUCAGAAUCUUUCGUAUGAUUUUCUUUUCAUUUGUUUGGUUGCUAAGAAAGUUAGAGAAAAUUUUAGUAUUUGACCAACAUGUUGACUGUUUUAUUUAUUACGCAGAAUAUUGAUGAAGGGAGAUUAAAGAUGAAGGCACAUUGUCCUUUAGUUACGGAUUUUGGGUUGAAGGAGAAGGCCACUAGAAUCCUCAUGAGUUAUAACCCAAUUUGGCUUCGAAUUGGAUUGUACAUUGUUUUUGGUGGAGAUUCUUUGUUGUCUGACAGAGAUGCUAAUUCUGAUGAAGAACUCAGGUUUCUGAAAAUGAUCAUUGAGAAGCAAUUUUUUGCACAUUCGGGUCUAGCAAAAGAUUAUGCUUACAACAAGAAGGUUGAGGGUCUUUACAGACCGGGUUAUUACGAAGCUCUGGGAAACGUCACUUUGAAGAGAUUUCUGAUGCUCGCUCUUAUCCUUGAUAGAGCGAAAUGCCAGAGCAGUCUUUCUCUUAAGUAUGGAAUUGAUGGAGUGGAUGGGGGUUCUCCGUUAUUGUUUACAGUUGAAUCUCGUAUUAAAUCGAGUCAUCAGGUGAUCCAUGGUAAUCAUCGCUCCAUUUCUCUGUUGCUCGUUGAUUGUUUUGUAACUGUCCUGGUUGAACUAUAGGGUUGACUUUUCUUUAAUUGUGGUUCAAAACUAGAUUUUCUGUCAUCUGAUGUCAUGCUUGGAGAAGGUAAUAUUUCAGCACAUCUGGUGGUUUUAGGAUACAAAGUAUCCUAUCAGCAGGUAGAUUGCUCAUUUUAUGUGUGACACUCAUUUACAUCGGAUUCUGUUUAAGUGUGUAUUUUCAGGAUGUGAGCGAAAGAAGUGUCUUUUAAGAUUUGUUCAAGAUUGGGCCCUUUCCAUUGAUGAUGAGGCAUAAUGUUUCAUUAUUUAGUAUCAACAAAAUUAUUUUCACUUUGUCUAAUCGACGAUUGAUAUUUGUUAUUGUGCAGCAUCCCCUUGUUGAAUAUGACUUCCGAGUUACAAAUUUAUUUGCUGAUCUUCAAGAUGGGGUGCGACUGUGCAGAGCCAUUCAACUUUUGCUAGAUGACGCCUCUAUCCUCACGGUUGUUAUUUUUCUUUCUUUAUACUUUGAAUAAAUAGGCAGGUCCAAUUAUUGUUUAACAGAAUGUUUAUCUUAGUUAGUGAUUUCACUGUUGCAUUGGGGAACAGAAAAUGGUUGUUCCAGCAGAUACGCUUAAGAAGAACAUGGCAAAUUGUGGCAUUGCCCUGCAGUACCUUAAACAGGCUGGCGUUGUUUUACAUGAUGAAGACGGAAUGAUGAUUGUGGCAGAUGAUAUUGCUGGCGGGGACAAGGAACUUACUCUUUCCUUGCUCUGGAACGUGUUUGUCCAUUUGCAGGCCUGUUCCUUUCUUCUCCCUCCUAUCGUUAAGAAUUCUUUAUGAGUUUACCGUUAUCUGCUUGUUGGUAACAUUCUUCAUUAACUUUGUCAUUGAACUUGCAGCUACCGCUUCUGGUCAAGAAAACAAACUUAGCUGAGGAAAUUUGCAAAAUUCGUGGCAGUGUGGUAUGUCCAUUUCAAUGAGGAUAAGUUUCUUAUUAGUUUACCUGUUGGUCAAUAUAUUGUUGUGGUAUUAUGUUUACAUGGUCUAUAGUUUCAAUUAAAAAUUGACCUUUAAUCAUUCUCUUCUGUUUCACAGAUCAGUUUUGAUUCCUCUUCAUUGGAAAUGAUUUUAAAAUGGAUUCAGGUAUUGCUGCUAAUAUAUAGCCGAAAGUUUAUCAGCUUAUUCUUAUUAUGGGGUUUGAAUAGCAUUCUUUUGCAAUUUAACAAACACAAUCUGCAAUUUGUCUAAGUUACACAAAAAAUCACUGCUCUGCUCCUGAUAAUCAUUUUUAUUGGGGGUUUUCAGGCAAUUUGUGAAAAUUAUGAUUGCAAGGUUGACAGUUUUGCUUCAUUGGUUGAUGGAAAAGCCAUAUGGUGCUUGCUGGACUAUUACUUUCGUAAGCAACUAUCUUGUGGUCGGUCAUCAAAGGUACUAUAUGUAUAAUUUACCUCCUAUAAUUUUUUGUGAACAUAGAGAUUUAGUUCCCUCUCUUCAUUCACAUUAAAUUAUAUGUUACAGGAUCGUAAUAAAUCAAGUCACGAAGAAUCAAUCAUGUUGGCCACUGAUUAUUCAGAUGCAGUGCACAACUUUUUAUUAUCCCAGAAAUUGUUGACGUUAUUGGGAAACUUUCCAGAGGUUUGUGCUGGUUUUCUUUUCUUCAUUUUCACUUCUUCGUGAACUUCCCAUCUAGCUUAAAUUUUGCCAAAUCCUACCAUUUGAAUACCUUUGCCAGCUUAAUAUACAAUCAUCUUGAAAUAUUUCAACAGGUUCUGCAAAUUAGUGACAUUCUUGAAUACAACGGUGCACGAAAUGACCGGAGUGUGGUGAUACUAUUGGUGUUCCUUUCAUCUCAACUUAUUGUCAAGAAAAAUAUGGUAAUAAAUGAUGUUUAUCGUUUAAAAAGAGCUGAUAUUUUAUUAUGGUGGAAGAAUGGAUUCAGCUGUUGUCAUAAUACUUUAACAUUGAGUAUCUCUUUGGCAGGACCAAUUAAAUUUCCAUAAACUCUUGGGUUGUGAUUGCCAAAGUACAGACAGAAAAUAUACAUGUAUGGGAUGCUAUGUAAGACCCGAAGCAACACAGGUCGAAGAGGAAACAUAUGACCACCACAUCGAAGGUUUCUUUCCCUUGUUUUCUUGUAUCUGUCUUCAAGGUUAAUUUUAUUUGUUCAUUUGUUGAAACUGAUUGCUUUAUUUGUAUUUUUCAUUUGUUGUGAUGUUUGUAUAUACAAACAGAUUCUGUAAGAAAGUUUAAGGCUAUUCAGGCCUGGUGGCAAGAUAUGGCUGAAAGGAACCAUAAAUCUGUUGCAAAACCAACUUCUCCUACUUCGCUUAACCUAUCUACGAAUAAGGAUAACAUUAAUAUUGAAAAAGGUAAUUGUAUUAUCUUCUGUAGCUCAAUGCUAGAGUAAUGUCUGUCGUGUUGCCAUUUCUUGUUACCCCUUGCUAGUUCCUCUCUCUUCACUCAGUUCUCUGACUCCAAAGUUCUUUUCUUUUAUUUCCCCGAUUUUCUUGAUUUAUUUGUAUUCCGUCACUCAGAGGAGAGUUUAUUGCUUACCUGUAAUUUUAUUCUAUCAUUUUAUUUCUGGUCCUGAUAUCGUAAGUGUGGUAUAUACUGUUCUCUUUCUGAUGGAGGAAUCCAUAUCUGAUACUUGCAGUAAAUACUGACAAAGGCAAUUAUGAGGGAGGAAGUAUUGUAACUCAUGAUAUAUCUACUCCUGAUCUAGUUAAAGCUGCCAUUGUUGUCCAAAGAUAUAUUCGUGGGUGGCUUGCAAGGUUGAGAUACAUUCAUGGGGUUGCUCUUGUAGAUAAAUCUUGCAAUCGGUGCCAAGAAAAUGUUGUGCGUGAUCUUCAAGUAAGGGCAGAAAAUACUGAGAAAAGCAAUUAUGAGGGAGGAAGUAUUGUAACUCAUGAUAUAUCUGCUCCUGAUCUAGUCAAAGCUGCCAUUGUUGUGCAAAGAUAUAUUCGUGGGUGGCUUGCAAGGUUGAGAUACAUUCAUGGGGUUGCUCUUGUAGAUAAAUCUUGCAAUCUGUGCCAAGAAAAUAUUGUGCGUGAUCUUCAAGUAAGGGCAGAAAAUACUGAAAAAAGCAAUUAUGAGGGAGGAAGUAUUGUAACUCAUGAUAUAUCUGCUCCUGAUCUAGUCAAAGCUGCCAUUGUUAUCCAAAGAUAUAUUCGUGGGUGGCUUGCAAGGUUGAGAUACAUUCAUGGGGUUGCUCUUGUAGAUAAAUCUUGCAAUCUGUGCCAAGAAAAUAUUGCGAGUGAUCUUCAAGUAAGGGCAGAAAAUACUGAAAAAAGCAAUUAUGAGGGAGGAAGUAUUGUAACUCAUGAUAUAUCUGCUCCUGAUCUAGUCAAAGCUGCCAUUGUUAUCCAAAGAUAUAUUCGUGGGUGGCUUGCAAGGUUGAGAUACAUUCAUGGGGUUGAUCUUGUAGAUAAAUCUUCCAAUCUCUGCCAAGAAAGUGUUGCGCGUGAUCUUCAAGUAAGGGCAGCAGUUAAAAUCCAGCUUGCGUGGAAGAAUUUUUCUUUCUGUCAUUCUCUUCUCUAUCAGCUUUCCGCUGCAACUAAAAUUCAAAGUCAUUUUCGUGGUUGGCUAGUGAGGAGGAGGUCUCAUAUUAAAAGGCAAGCAAUAAUAAAAAUCCAAAGUGUAUAUCGAAUGUCAAGAUGCUGGAAGGCUUAUCAGCAAUACAAAAUUGCAGCUGGUUCAGCCACCGUCAUUCAAUCUUAUAUACGUGGAUGUUUUGCCAGGAAAGGCGCUGAAAAUCAUAGGCUUCUCAUUGUUGCAAUCCAAGUAAGUAUUUCUCCAUGUCUUCUGAGCAUAUAGAAACCUUGUCAUAUUAAAGCAAUCUUUUGUAUGCAACUUAAUUCUAUUGUUGUAGUUUUAUACUAUCUAGAUGUGUGACUAAUUUUCUCCCCUUUUCUAUUGUGCAAGUAUCAUGUCUCAGUAGUGUGCUUAAAUGAUUUCAGAGAUACUUCCGUGGCUGGUUGAUCAGAAGUCAAUUCUCGUGUCAAAGACAGGCUGCAAUAAAGAUCCAAAGUGCUAUUCGAGGCUUGAUAUGGCGUCAAUCAUUUCAUCGUCAUAGACAAGCUGCAGUGGAAAUUCAACGGAUAGUCAGGGGGCAGAUUAGUCGAAAUAGGCUCUUAGGUAUAUUACUACAACCUUUCCUGACUGGUUCUUACCCAUUUUAUUUAUUUGUGUUGGAUGUUCUAGCCUUGAAUAGAAACUUACAGUUACAAAUGUUUAUGGCUUUGGUUUGUUGCAGGUGCUGCUUCCCUACGCCCAAUCGUCCGCAAUGGUUGUCCUUUGAAUAGAACAGAAGCCCUUUAUAUGGGUGCUGAACUAAAUAAAGUUGUUUGCUCCGUGUUGAAAUUGCAAAGGUGGUGGAGGAGUGUCAUGUCACUAAACUUUAGAACGAAUUCUGCAGUCAUUAUUCAGUCUCAUAUUCGAGGGUGGUUUGCUAGGCAAAAAGCUGUUAGAGAGAGGCAAUGUAUUGUUGCGAUACAAGUAAGAUAUAUCCCUUAAUGUUUCAUUUGUUCUCAUUAGUCUCUUUUAUUCAGUAGAAAUCUAAUGUUACCAGUUAAAUGUGGCUGAAGUAUUAGUCCACUGCAUUUAUGAAAAACUUGGAGUUACAUAAAUGUCGAAAGAAUGCUCUAGCAGCUAGACCUUCGAUUGAUGUAUUUCUUUGACUUAAUGUUCCUUCCAUUGUUUUUGGUUUCUGUUAUGAAUCAAAAUGUCAAACAGGGUAAAAACCUGUAGUCGUAGAAUUAUUUUUGGCUAUUUUUGAAUAUAUUGUUUUCGCCAUUGUUUUGUACUUAUUACUGAAUUCAGUAAAUUAACAGAACCGAUUUUGAGUGACAGUCAUGCUGGAGAGGCUACCUUCUAAGGAGGAAAGAGACGGAAGGUCAGCUACUGGAGCUGCGCUUGAGAGUGCAAAAGUCUGCCACAAAUGUAGAUGAUAGCAUGCGGAUUAUAAACAGACUUGUAGCAGCACUUUCGGAGCUACAAACAAUGAAAAGUAUCAGCGGCAUUCUUCACACUUGUGUUACUUUGGGUAAGUUGUUAGUGAUUGUAUGAUACACUCCAUUUCCAACAUUUCUUGAUCCAAGUUUGCAUGCAUUACGCUAAUUUUACAUUUCAGAAUAGAUUCGACAACAUUUCCAUGGUUUGUUCAUGAUUCUAAAUUCAUGUCUUUCCAUUAUUCCUACAUGAAAUGUAAUCCUAGCAUGGUGUACUUACGUUAUAAUCCUACUUGCAGACAAGGCCACUGCACAUUCUCAGAAAUGUUGUGAAAAACUCGUGGAGGAAGGAGCUAUUAAAACAUUGCUGAAGAUUUUUGGCUCAGCCACUCGAAGUAUACCCGAUCAGGAGGUUCAAAAACACGUGCUCUCAACUCUAAGGAACCUUGCCCGCUAUCCACACCUGGUAGAAGUGCUAAUUGACAGUCCGGGAUCAGUAGAAACUGUUGUAUGCGAGUUUGUAAGGUUCGUAAGCCAUAUACUCUCAAAUAUGAUUUGCCAAAAUGAACGUUUGUUAUCUUGGUUUAACGGCUAAUAACUUACCCUAACUUCAGGAACAAGGAAGAGGGUUAUUUCACAGCUUCCGAACUUCUGAAGAAGGUUUGUGCUAGUCGUAAAGGCGUUGAAGCUGUGCGUAAAUCGCCCGCUCUUUUGAAAAGGCUACACAAUCUUGUUGAGGAACUUAGUAGGAAGGCUGGCAACAAUGACAAGAGGUCAGAUUUAAUCAAAGAAUCUCUCGUUUUUUCUUUGGAAACUUAAAUUAAACGAUCGUUAAGCUCUAAUUAGUACCAUCUUAAUCUUAAUGCAGGAAUGCCGGCCGAGUUACAGUUGCUAGAGAAGCUACGGAAAGGAGAUUAAGGGAGGCUGUUGAAAUUAUGAAAAUGGUAAAACAGAGGUACUAGUACUAUUUACUAGGGUAACUUGUUGAGUUCCAGAGUGUUUAAAAAGUUACCUUGGUUAGUUAUGAUGUAUUGCUGACGUGUGUAUUUUGCCAUUGAAUUUACACGUUCAAUGGGUGGGGGGAGUGAGAAGGACAGGGCAACUUGAUUUGGUUGAUGCACCUCAAAUUGAAUGCUUGGUUUUUUUUUUUCCACUUGUGGUUUUGUAAAUUUUCUAUCGAGUGCUUAAUUCUAUGAGUUUCAUUUGAUAAUUUUUUCGUUUUUUAUGCGUUAAGCUGAAGACCCACUCAAAGUCAACAAGGCUUUUAAUUUUGGGAGGGUUGAGAAUGGAUGUUUAUUGUAUGCAGUUUUAUUUUUGUUUUGCAAAAAAUUGUUUCAUGAUUCGAACUUGUAGGGGUGGUCACUUAGAACCGAAAACUGAAACCGAAACACGAACCAAAUUGAACCGCACCGAACGGUUUGGUUUUGCGGUUUUGAAACGGUUUCGGUUUUGAAACCGAACUGCAAUAUAGAAAAUGGUUUGGUUUCGGUUUUGGCUUUAGAAAACUGCACUGAAACCGAACCGCACCGCAAAUAUUAAUAAACAUUUAAUUAAAUGUCCAUAUUAGAUUUCAUAUUUUAAUUGGUCGUUUGUUAAAAUCCAUACACUUAGUAUGGACUCAACCACACUAGAAUAUCAUCAUUCAUCACUUUCUUUUGUUCAUUAACUUGAAAGACCUUUGUUAUUUUAUACCAUCACACACACAUAUAUGUAUAAGGGUGGACUAAUCUUGUUAUCAAGAGUCGAACAAUGAUCUACUGAAGUCCACUCAUUUGAAGCAUGAUAUCAUAUAUUCUAGUAUGAAAGUUUCACUCACGUUUAAUGAAUUCAAAUUUAUUCAACUUGUUUUAUGAAAAACAUUGUAAGGGACACCUUUUUCGUUGCACAAACAUGUUUUAACAUCACAACUACAUGCAACAUGCUAAUUGUUUACAUAACAUAUGUCAUUUUCCUAUUACUAAUGGGAAAUGCUUUUUAAUAUGUUAAAUUGCAAAUUGUACAUUUUUUCUUAAAAAUCAAACCGAAACGUUUGAAACCACACCGAACCUAACCAAACGGUUUGGUUUCAUUUUGGUUUUGGCUUCAAAACCGCACCGAACCAAACCGCAAAAACUUGCGGUUUUGGUUUUGGUUUCACUCAAAACCACGCCCACCCCUACGAACUUGUGACAUUUUAGUUACAAAAGAACAACUUAUUCGUUAUAUCAAAACUCGUCCUCACUUAUUAAUAUUAAAAACAGUAUAAUUUUGUUUAGACUAUAAUUUUUCAAUUAUUUUGAGAAUAUUUUUUGUCAUACAAUAUGCAAAUAACGCAAUGUCGAGUGAUAUAUAUUUCCUUAACAUUAUAUGAUCGGAAGAGACAACUAUUGAGUUUUGUGGUCCUUAAGCCUGCAGCCGGCGGUCCUCCAGUUAUCUUGAUAAUAUUUUAUAGCAUUCCCAAAAGAUUUUGGAUCUACCUUGGAAAUAUUAAUCGCUUUAUUUGAUCCCCAACACAAAAUCCCAUGAACCGUCUUUUAUUCUCGUGACUAGCAUUAUCCUCUUUUGCGGCCACAACAAGUUUUAUACUGUCCAUUUUUUAAUUUAUGAGAAAAGAACAGCCGGUAACUACGCUUCUAACCAACGUCAGAUAUUUGGUUUGAGAUCGAAUAUUUUUUUAUCAAUUAUAUUUUGAUAGUGUUAUUAUUAACAUUUUAAAAUUUUUACCGUGCGAUGCUCAUAAUAUAUAUAUAUAUAUAUAUUAUAUUUUUUAUAUUUUUUUAAAUCCAGAAGUUUGGGAGUAUUGCUAUUUAAUAAUCAAAGGGAUCAUGAACUUGAAAUGGCUACGAAGUUUGAUUGGUAUUUGAGGGAAGUUCGACUUUGGUUCUUAUAGUUUCAAUUGUUACAAUUGAAUGACAUAGAUUUUCAGAAAUUUUCAAACAUAAUUAAUACUUAAAUUUGAUUUUUACCUUAAUUUUGGAUUACUGUCGCGUUGAAAACCAAUUAUUAUUAGAAUUCACUUAAUUAAGUUGUCGUCAUUGAAUUGUAAGUAGUAGUAAACUAAAUGCGUCAAAUCAUGAUCACUGAAACUACAAUAAUCGAUUGGUAACUAUUUUUCUAUUAGUUGGACUAUUCUUCUUUGAUUUACUGCAUUUUGAAUCCAAACACCCUAAUUAGUAAUAAAUCAUUUGUAAUAAAAACCACUAUAAAACCAAUAAACCCAUUAAACUAUUAAGGAUAAAAAUGUAAUUACACCUUCAAGGGAUAAUACUUAGAGGCUAAGGAAUGUUUAGUUUGUUAGCUUAGUUACACUUUCUGUUAGUUGUAAUGCCAACUGUGAUAGUUGUGAUAGUUGUAUAUAAAUACUCAAAGUGUAAAAGUUAUUUUUUGAUUUAAUGAGAAUAUUUCUCCUAAUAUGGUAUCACUCGCCCUCAGUCUCACGACGUUUCUUUUUCGAUCCUCUUUUCCUGCUUCUCUCUGCACCGCUUCAUCUUCUCCGAUCCAUUGAUCUUGUUCUUGAUCUUGAUCGUGUCUUGGUUGUUCUUGAUCGUAUCUUGUUCUUCUCGAUUGUGAUUUCUCUCUCAAUCCAGCUAUGGUGACUGCUACAUCUUCCCUCUUUUGAGUCCACCGAUCCACAUCCUAACCCUAAUUCUUGCGAUUUCUUCCUCCAUUACCAUCCAAAAUAUUGGAUCUAUGGUUCCGCUCAAGCUUACCACCACAAAUUACCUGACCUGGAGUGCCUUAUUUGCUCCAAUUCUUCGUCGCUACAAUCUUACUGGUCCUUAUUGAUGGAUCCAUGGCGGCGCCGCCCCAAAUAUCUUCUUGAUUCUUCUGGCAAUCGCACCGCCACUCUCAAUCCUGCUUAUGUUACUUGGUUUGAGAAUGAUCAGAACAUUCUCAUCUGGAUCAAUUCAACUCUAUCUGAUUCUUUGAUUCCUUACACAGUUGGCGUCACUUCUGCUCGCGAACUUUGGGCGAAAUUGGAAUCGCGUCUCGCCACUGCAUCUCAGUCUCACAUCCAUGAGCUUCGUUCUCGUCUUCGCAGUCUUGUUAAAGGUGAAUUGACUGCUGCUCAAUAUCUCCAGCAAAUUGAAGAAAUUGUCGAUGCCCUAGCAAGUGCUGGUGCUCCUGUUGAAGAUUCCGAUCUCAUAUCCGUCACACUUCAUGGCUUACCUCCUGAAUUUGAUUCUUUUGUGGAUGCUAUUCAGUUUCGUCUUGGUUCCACGACUAUUGAUGAAUUACACGGUUUACUUCUCAGUAAGGAGAUUCAACUCAACAAUCGGAAGAAAUCUGUCUCCACUGCACCAUUCCAGGCAUAUAAUUCCUCAGCUGGUAUUCUUCCCUUGCCUGCUCCCUCUAUCCCUCAGGCAUUUACUGCCCAGCAUCUUUCUCAGUUCUCCAAUCAAGGUCGCAAUGUGGAUCGCAAUUAUCCGGGCCCAAAUCGGGGCACUUUUCAGAAUCGUGGAAAUUCCAGAUUCAACAAUGGCAGGAAUACCUACUCUCGUAAUAAUCAGCGAUUCAAUUGUGAAGCUCGCAAUAACUCAUCUUUCCCUCGAAAGCUUUUCUGUCAGAUUUGUCGACAACCAGACCAUGAGGCUUGUAAUUGUCCUCAUCGCAUGGAUCAAAACUACAAUGGCAAAUCUUCUCAUUCUGCAAUGGUUGCUGGUACCUCUCCUUCUACUCCUACCUGGAUUGUUGACUCUGGUGCUAGUUCCCAUAUGACAAACUCAUAUGCUAACCUUCAGAAUCCAGAAGCCUACACUGGUCCUGAGCAAGUGUAUAUUGGAGAUGGCAAAGGUUUGCCUAUUCUCCAUUCUGGCUCAUCCUCUUUACAUACUUCUACUAAUUCUUUUGCUUUAAAGCAUGUCUUACAUGUUCCUGCUUUAAAGCACAAUCUUCUCUCUGCUAAUCAAUUUCUUCUUGACAAUUCUUGCUCUAUGCAUCUUUAUCAUUUUCACUUCACUGUGAAGGAUCUUUCUUCGGGGAGAAUGCUUUUUAAAGGACCGGUUCAACAUGGCUUCUAUCCUUUUCACUCAUCCUUCUCUCCUGCUACCUCGAGUCAAGCUUUAGCUGCCUCUGUCAAAGCUCCCCAGCAUCUUUGGCAUCAAAGACUGGGCCAUCCUUCUGUAAAGAUCAUGAAUAAGUUGGUUUCUCAAUCCUGUAUUUCUGUUCUUGCUGCUUCAAAUAAAGCUUUUUGCUCCGAUUGUGCACUAGGAAAAUGUUCUAAACUUCCAUUUUCUAGUACUACUUGUCAUACGGAUGUUUGGGGACCCUCACCCAUCCUGUCUCAUCAUGGUUUUCGGUAUUAUGUCAUUUUCAUAGAUGACUAUACCAGAUAUUGUUGGUUCUAUCCUUUAUGGUGUAAAUCUGAUGUUCUCUCCACCUUUAUGCAAUGGAAAUUACUUGUUGAGAAUUCUCUGUGUACAAAAGUUAUUUCAUUACGUUCAGAUUCUGGUGGUGAAUAUGUUAGUACUGCAUUCUCUCAGUUCUUAGCUCGCCAUGGCAUUCAUCAUCAGCUCACUUGUCCUCAUACCCCCGAGCAAAAUGGGUGUGCCGAACGUAAGCAUCAGCAUAUUGUUGAGACUUCUCGAACUCUCCUGGCAGUCUAAAGUGCCUCAUGCUUAUUGGGUUGAGGCUUUUGCAACCUCUGUUGAUCUCAUCAACCGGCUACCCACAAUAUCUCGAUACUCUCCUUGGCAGUCUCUUUUCCAGAAAGCUCCUGACUAUACAUCUCUCAAGGUUUUUGGUUGUUGCUGUUUCCCUUGGUUGAAACCAUACACAUCCUCCAAACUUGAUCCUAAAAGCACACCCUGUGUCUUCUUGGGUUAUAGCUUAAAUCACAAGGGCUAUCUAUGUCUAAAUCCAUCUACUAACCGGUUGUAUAUUUCAAGACAUGUCCUCUUUGAUGAGUCUACUUUUCCCUUUCAUACCUUACAAUCGUCUCCAUCUCAAACCUGUCUCUCCUCCUCUCCCUUAUACUCCCCCUCUAUUCCCUCAUCGCUCACAUUUCACUCUGUCUCCACCCCACCUACACCCUCUGCCCCUUCUACAACCCAGAUUCCCACCUUGCCAGCAUCUUCAAAUCUGCUCCAACCAUCUGCAGCUUCCCCAAAUCCCUGCUCCCAACCUACAGUACCUAUCAACACCCACCAAAUGCAAACUCGUUCAAAAUCUGGCAUAUUCAAACCCAAAGCCCUAGCUGCAACCAAACACCCUAUUCCUUCCCAUCUUGUAGUUGACUAUGUUCCUUCAACCUACCUACAAGCUUCUAAACACUCUCAUUGGCGCAAGGCAAUGCAAGAAGAGUUCAAUGCCCUUGCCUCCACUGGUACAUGGUCACUUGUACCCCCUUCUUCCUCUCAUAACCUUGUGGGCUGUAAGUGGGUGUUUCGGAUCAAACGAAAACCCGAUGGUUCUAUUGACAGGUACAAAGCCCGUUUGGUUGCUAAGGGUUUUCACCAACAAGAGGGUCUUGACUACACUGAAACAUUUAGUCCCGUGGCAAAACCAGUGACUAUUCGUCUCCUGCUCACUAUUGCUACUCAGUUUGAUUGGUUCCUCAAUCAAUUAGAUGUCAGUAAUGCCUUUCUCCAUGGCACCCUUACUGAAUCAGUGUUUAUGCAACAGCCCCCUAGCUUUGAAGAUCCAACCUACCCGCAUCAUGUUUGUCAUCUUCACCGAUCUCUUUAUGGUUUGAAACAGGCUCCUCGAGCUUGGUAUGACAAGCUUCAUAAUGCUCUGCACUCUCUUGGUUUUCAUGGGUCCAAAAGUGAUCAUUCUCUGUUUAUAAAGAGUUCUUCUACUCCGGUGUUCAUACUUGUCUAUGUCGAUGACAUCUUAGUCACCGGCCCCUCUCCUGCAGCCUGUCAACAGGUCAUCACUCAACUCAGUGCUCUGUUUCCCAUCACAGAUCUUGGUGCUCUUCAUUACUUUCUUGGUAUUGAAGUUAAACGAUCCUCUUCUGGUCUUUUCAUCUCUCAAACCAAGUAUAUUUUGGAUCUAUUUGGCCAAAGCAAAAAUGGAUGGUGCCAAGCCUGCAGCACCCCUCUCAGUACAAACCAAGCUGGAUCACUUGUCUCCUCUGCUCGAUAAUGCUUCUGAAUAUCGAUCUCUUGUUGGAGCUCUUCAGUACUUGACUUGGACUCGGCCUGAUCUUAGUUUUGCUGUGAAUUUGGUAUGUCAGUUUAUGCAUAGUCCCCGACUUUCCCAUCUGCAAGCAGUAAAACGUAUUCUUCGCUAUCUUAAAGGUUCUCUUGAUCUUGGAUUAUGGUUCCCCAAGUCCUCUCAAGUUCCGUCUAUUCAAGCCUUUUCCGAUGCCGAUUGGGCGGGAUGUUCCUUGGACAGAAGAUCCACAGGCGGAUACUGUGUCUAUUUUGGCAAAUCUCUCAUUAGUUGGAGUGCCAAGAAGCAACCUACUGUUGCUCGUUCCUCCACAGAAGCGGAAUAUCGCUCUCUUGCAAAUACGGCUGCGGAAAUCACAUGGAUAUGUAAACUGCUUGCUGACCUCUCUUAUUCUCUGCCUCAUUCUCCCACGAUCUGUGUGACAAUCUCUCUGCCAUUUCUUUAGCGAAAAAUCCUGUUUUUCAUGCUCGAACAAAGCAUGUCGAGCUUGAUUAUCAUUAUAUUCGUGAAAAGGUUCUCGCCAAUCAAAUUUCUGUGCAGUUUAUCAGUACACAGGAUCAGGUGGCUGAUAUCUGCACCAAAUCUCUGUCCCAACCUCGGUUCAUCCUUCUUCGUGACAAACUCCAACUGAGAUUACCCAGUCUCGUUUGCGGGGGGAUAUUAAGGAUAAAAAUGUAAUUACACCUUCAAGGGAUAAUACUUAGAGGCUAAGGAAUGUUUAGUUUGUUAGCUUAGUUACACUUUCUGUUAGUUGUAAUGCCAACUGUGAUAGUUGUGAUAGUUGUAUAUAAAUACUCAAAGUGUAAAAGUUAUUUUUUGAUUUAAUGAGAAUAUUUCUCCUAAUAUAAACAUCACUUAAAAUGGCAAGAAAUUAAAGAGGAAUACAUAAAAUAGUUUAAAACAUUCGUACAAUAAUGUGAGAACUCAUAUCAAGUACAAUCCACCAAUCCUUCGCUUAACAAAAGUAGAAUCCCCACAACUAUUUUUUUUUUUUGAAAAAGUACGAUAUUCGUUAAUAACAAAUGAAAUAUGUACAUCAAUAAGAAUAUGGUGCAAAUAGAAUGUCUCGAUAAAAACCUUACCGAGAUUUUAAACUAAUCGAAAAGAAAAAUAGUACAACUAAUUAUUAUCUAAUUAAUCUUAUUUUAAUUUGCCAUGUUUAAACUAAAAACUAAGCAGCCCUUGCAAGAACUUCAAGCCUUUCUGGCACAUCAGCUGGCUCAAUGAAGAAAGCCCUCCUCAGAGAUCUCGGCACCGUGACUGUCAACACUCCGUCUUCAUAUCUGGCUGAAAUCCGUUCGAUAUCGACCCGGCCCGGAAGCCGGAACUUCCUCAUGAAGGUCCUGCUGCUAGGCUGCUCCGUGGACUCCUCCUCGAUCCUCUCUGUUCGAAUUAUGAGGUACACUGAGUCCUCCACUUCUACUUUUAUGUCCUCUUUCCUCACACCUGCUCAAAUCAUAUAUAACAACCACCAAAACCAAAGUUUCACCGCUAUUAAAAAAAGUGCGCGAAAAUCACUUCAUGAAAAAAGCAAUAAAAGCGAAAAACCAACAAAAGAAAAGAAAAAUUGGGUCGAUUAAUAAUAUUGUUACGUUGUUAAAUACAAAGAACUUCCCUUCCAUACAAAAGUGGAUGCCUGUUGCGUUAUCCCAAGCUAAUCUCAAACUGUCACGUUAGACUGGUAAACGUGACAGUGCGUGAUUUGCUUGAGAUAUUGCUGUCACAAUCCAGCAUCCAGUUGUAUGUAAGUUUCUCUCGGAAACUAAGAGGGAUGGUUGAAAUUACCAGGGAUGUCAGCCGAGAAAAUGUGAGAUUCAGGGGUCUCAGUCCAGUGCACAUAGUUUUCUGGGACCAAAUGGUAUGGAUAGAUGAGAUGA